AUGGCCCAACCGUUUCUCUUCCUCCUCUUCCUCCUCACCUUCUUCACUGGUGCCUUGGCCCAGUUCACCAUGACUCAACCAGCUUCUCAGUCGGUAUCCCCAGGAGGAACAGUCAGGAUCACCUGUACCAGGGAAGGUGGUAGCAUUAGUAGCUACUAUGUGAGCUGGUAUCAGCAGAAACCUGGCACUAAACCCCUAGCAGUGAUCUAUAAAGAUAGUGAGAGGCCGUCUGGAAUCCCUGAGCGGUUUUCUGGUUCUUAUGAUUCUUCCUCCAAUUCGGCCACAUUGACCAUCUCCAACGUUCAACCAGAAGAUGAGGCUGACUAUUACUGUUUGUCUUAUGAUGGCAAUAUUCAGUGCACAGUGAUUCCACCUUAUGGGGAACUGUGA